GACUCUUGAGCACUAACCUAGAUUUAACUAAAUUUUCUCAGCUUCAUUCAGGAAAACAAUAUGGAUGGCAGACUACGGAGUUGACAUCUCUACAAUCCACAGUUUUGUGCCAUGAAUCGAUGAUUUGUGACAUAUCAGUCCCUGGAACUUCUAGGGCCAAUUCCACUAAACUUCCAGUAAUUAAAGAAGUAACAACUGUGCAUAGUGAUGCGCGGUGGUUGAGCAAAAGUGAACACCUAGAUUCUGAGAACUUCAUAGUUUCUUCGAAGCAAUCAAGCAAUGGUGAUAGAGAAUCUCUCGAACGGAUCGAUUUUGGGAAUGUUUAUUAGGGUAGAACGAAUGCGAACGACGGACUACUAACGGGAAGUAGAAGCAAUAGAACCACCACAGGAAGACAGUGGUGAAAUGUUGUGUUUAAUCAGCACCCCUUCUCAAUGAGAAAAACGUCAAUAAGAAACUACCCAAAGUACAAUAAUUCGUUUUCAACGCAGAUUCCGUUGUGUCACGAUGCAAGUUUUUGGCAGGGAGUGGGAGGUUAUGAACCUGAUAUGUCAGAUAUAGAGAGUCGGAGCUGUGUAGAAAGAUUGGUUAGAAUGAGUUCAUAUGAACCUAGAUAUUUGGAGAUUGGAAGGGUCCAAGCAUUCACCGAGGAUAUGCAUAUGGAUUUGGGAAGUUCAGGAAGAAAACGAGCAAGUUUGAGGUCUUCAUCAUCUGAGCAUUAGUUUAAGGCUUCAUGCGAAGGGCGAUGGACGUACCCAUCCCAACCAUACCUUUCUCAAAAGUUUUCAAUGUCUCCAGUUGCUUCAGAAUUUGCCUCAGCUGCAAGACUUCUAAUGGUGUAGUAGUUGUUGAGGAGCGUGAAGAACUGGCUCUCCGACAACCAACGAAAAGAUCCAAUGCUAUGCAUGAAUGGGUCGGCGGCGACUGUAACACUUCCCCAAUUGUGUGCUCUUGGUUUGGACGUCAAGAAAAUUAUGCUGCAAGCCCUACUACUUCUUCGAUGUUAACCAUGGUCAAAUCCAGACUUCGCAUAGGCUACAAACUGUGCACUUACGGCUGUUCCGGGCUUGUGCAUCUACUUGUUUUGAAUUUUUCUUUUCUGUGAAUUUGUUCUAAUGGUUAGAUAAAAGACUAUUAAAUCCAACUGGGUUAGGUUUUGAAAUUUGGAUUUCAAGGAUAAAUAAGGGUUUCUUUAAUCUUAAGCAAUCUACCAAUUGGGUUGAAGCAAAUUUUUCUGAAGAAGUGAUAUAAUCUUAGUUUUUUUUAAAAAAAUCUUAUUUUGAGUGCAA